GGGCGCAUAGCUCAGCUGGUAGAGUAUCUCGGUGACAUCGAGAGGGUCACAAGUUCGAAUCUUGUUGCGCCCACCA
rnacentral:tRNA from 1 species